GUUGUAGACCACGACCUCGAUAGGCCGAAAGUGGAAGCGGAGCGAUCCGUUGAGCCGAUCGGCACUAAUAUGACGUGCGGCUUAGCUUA
rnacentral:rRNA from 1 species